rnacentral:rRNA from 1 species
AGUGAACGCUGGCGGUAGGCCUAACACAUGCAAGUCGAACGGCAGCACAGUAAGAGCUUGCUCUUACGGGUGGCGAGUGGCGGACGGGUGAGGAAUACAUCGGAAUCUACUUUUUCGUGGGGGAUAACGUAGGUAAACUUACGCUAAUACAGCAUACGACCUACGGGUGAAAGCAGGGGAUCUUCUGACCUUGCGCGAUUGAAUGAGCCGAUGUCGGAUUAGCUAGUUGGCGGGGUAAAGGCCCACCAAGGCGACGAUCCGUAGCUGGUCUGAGAGGAUGAUCAGCGACACGAGAACUGAGACACGGUCCAGACUCCUACGGGAGGGAGCAGUGGGGAAUAGUGGACAAUGGGCGCAAGCCUGAUCCAGCCAUACCGCGUGGGUGGAGAAGGCCUUCGGGUUGUAAAGCCCUUUUGUUGGGAAAGAAAAGCAGCAGGUUAAUACCCCGCUGUUCUGACGGUACCCAAAGAAUAAGCACCGGCUAACUUCGUG